CCUACGGGUGGCAGCAGUCGAGAAUCAUUCACAAUGGGGGAAACCCUGAUGGUGCGACGCCGCGUGGGGGAAUGAAGGUCUUCGGAUUGUAAACCCCUGUCAUGUGGGAGCAAAUUAAAAAGAUAGUACCACAAGAGGAAGAGACGGCUAACUAGGUCCCAGCAGCCGCGGUAAUACAGAGGUCUCAAGCGUUGUUCGGAAUCACUGGGCGUAAAGCGUGCGUAGGCUGUUUCGUAAGUCGUGUGUGAAAGGCGCGGGCUCAACCCGCGGACGGCACAUGAUACUGCGAGACUAGAGUAAGGGAGGGGGAACCGGAAUUCUCGGUGUAGCAGUGAAAUGCGUAGAUAUCGAGAGGAACACUCGUGGCGAAGGCGGGUUCCUGGACAUUAACUGACGCUGAGGCACGAAGCCCAGGGGAGCGAAAGGGAUUAGAUACCCUUGUAGUC
rnacentral:rRNA from 1 species